ACGGAUGAACCUUUUAUUAUGGCAUCUCAAGCAAAACAAGUGUUUUAUGUUAGGGACUCUUCUAACAAAAAGUGGUCAGUGGUUCUUAAAGGUAAAAGCAACCACAGACCUAACGAUAAUGAGCAUACAACACUAGAUAUUUAUGAGACACCUUCUUUCUCACAACGGGUGGCAAUUUUUGUUGAAGAUACUAUUGGUGACGAUGUGUAUGCCACUCGUGAUGAUCAUCAAAAAGGAAUAUGGAAAAAUGUUCAAACAUUACAAACUUAGUUAAGAAUUGACACAUGGGUGAUGUAUCAACUCCUUCUCAAAUUGGGUUGAAUACUCAAUCAACCAAAAAAAGGGAAGAGGUUGCACUCGAAUGAAAAAGUUGCAGCUUUUGGCUGCACGGGAUGAGAGAAUAUUGAUUGAUUUCAAUUCAGAUGGACAUCCUAUAGGGGAACUUGCAAAAGAUUUCAAGUAUCACGUGGCUUGUCUUGCUCGAGAGAAAAUUAGUAUUCUGUUUAAUGAGUGGAUAAUGUUGGUGAUGAAGACAGAAACGAAAUUUGGAAAGGACUUAAGCAAAUAUGGGAUAUUCCUAAAAGUGAUCUUGUUGAUAAGAAAACAAUGAUAUAUGCGGGCGAGCGUGGGAAGGCCUUUAAAAAAGCUUAACAAGUAGAUAUUUAAAUAAUGGAACUAAG